rnacentral:rRNA from 1 species
GUCUACAAUCAUACUACUCUGAAUGAGCCCAAAACCUCAUCUUGGAAGCUAAGUAGGGUUGGGUCUCAUUAGUACUUGGAUGGCAAAUGACCUGGGAAUAGGGACUGCUGUAGGCU